UAGAGUUUGAUCAUGGCUCAGAUUGAACGCUGGCGGCAGGCCUAACACAUGCAAGUCGAGCGGCAGCACAGGGGAACUUGUUCCCUGGGUGGCGAGCGGCGGACGGGUGAGUAAUGGCUGGGAACCUGCCCUGAUGUGGGGGAUAACAGUUGGAAACGACUGCUAAUACCGCAUGAUGUCUACGGACCAAAGAGGAGGACCUUCUGGCUUCUCGCGUCAGGAUGGGCCCAGUUGGGAUUAGCUAGUUGGUAGGGUAAUGGCCUACCAAGGCGACGAUCCCUAGCUGGUUUGAGAGGAUGAUCAGCCACACUGGAACUGAGACACGGUCCAGACUCCUACGGGAGGCAGCAGUGGGGAAUAUUGCACAAUGGGCGCAAGCCUGAUGCAGCCAUGCCGCGUGUGUGAAGAAGGCCUUCGGGUUGUAAAGCACUUUCAGCAGUGAGGAAGGUGGUGUAGUUAAUACCUGCAUCAUUUGACGUUAGCUGCAGAAGAAGCACCGGCUAACUCCGUGCCAGCAGCCGCGGUAAUACGGAGGGUGCGAGCGUUAAUCGGAAUUACUGGGCGUAAAGCGCAUGCAGGCGGUCUGUUAAGCAAGAUGUGAAAGCCCCGGGCUUAACCUGGGAACCGCAUUUUGAACUGGCAGGCUAGAGUCUUGUA
rnacentral:rRNA from 1 species